CUUCCCGUAGGGGGACCUGCGGAAGGAUCAUUACAGAGACAUUGCCCCUUGGGGUAGAUCUCCCACCCUUUGUUUACCUUACCUUUGUUGCUUUGGCAGGCCCGUCUUUGGACCACCGGCUUAGGCUGGUCUGCGCCUGCCAGAGAACCCCAAAUUCUUGACUUUUUGUGUUGUCUGAGUAAUAUUAUAAUAAGUUAAAACUUUCAACAACGGAUCUCUUGGUUCUGGCAUCGAUGAAGAACGCAGCGAAAUGCGAUAAGUAAUGUGAAUUGCAGAAUUCAGUGAAUCAUCGAAUCUUUGAACGCACAUUGCACCCUCUGGUAUUCCAGGGGGUAUGCCUGUUCGAGCGUCAUUUCAACCCUCAAGCUUAGCUUGGUAUUGGGUGUCACCUGGUAAUGGGGUGCAUCUUAAAAUCAGUGGCGGUGCCAUCUGGCUCCAAGCGUAGUAAUUCUCUCGCUUUGGAGAUUUAGAUUUGUGGUUGCCAUCAACCCCUAAUUUCUUAAAGGUUGACCUCGGAUCAGGUAGGGAUACCCGCUGAACUUAAGCAUAUCAAUAGGCGGGAGGAAGGAUCAUUACAGAGACAUUGCCCCUUGGGGUAGAUCUCCACCCUUUGUUUACCUUACCUUUGUUGCUUUGGCAGGCCGUCUUUGGACCACCGGCUUAGGCUGGUCUGCGCCUGCCAGAGAACCCAAAUUCUUGACUUUUUGUGUUGUCUGAGUAAUAUUAUAAUAAGUUAAAACUUUCACAACGGAUCUCUUGGUUCUGGCAUGAUGAAGAAAGCAGCGAAAUGCGAUAAGUAAUGUGAAUUGCAGAAAUCGUGAAUCAUCAAA
rnacentral:rRNA from 1 species